AACGAACGCUGGCGGCAGGCUUAACACAUGCAAGUCGAGCGCCUCGCCAGAGGAGCGGCCGACGGGUGAGUACCGCGUGGGAACGUACCCUUAUCUUCGGAAUAGCUCUGGGAAACUGGAAGUAAUACCGAAUGUGCCCUUAGGGGGAAAGAUUUAUCGGAUAAGGGUCGGCCCGCGUUGGAUUAGCUAGUUGGUGGGGUAAAGGCCUACCAAGGCGACGAUCCAUAGCUGGUCUGAGAGGAUGAUCAGCCACAUUGGGACUGAGACACGGCCCAAACUCCUACGGGAGGCAGCAGUGGGGAAUAUUGGACAAUGGGCGCAAGCCUGAUCCAGCCAUGCCGCGUGAGUGAUGAAGGCCUUAGGGUUGUAAAGCUCUUUCACCGGAGAAGAUAAUGACGGUAUCCGGAGAAGAAGCCCCGGCUAACUUCGUG
rnacentral:rRNA from 1 species